GGAAGGUUGGCAGAGUGAUCGAUCGCGCUGGACUCGAAAUCCGGUAUACCCCUUUCGGGUAUCGGGGGUUUGAAUCCCUCACCUUCCGCCA
rnacentral:tRNA from 4 species